UACAGAGGGUGCAAGCGUUAAUCGGAAUUACUGGGCGUAAAGCGCGCGUAGGCGGCUUGACAAGUCGGGUGUGAAAUCCCCGGGCUUAACCUGGGAGCUGCAUUCGAAACUGUCUUGCUAGAGUAUGGGAGAGGGAGGUGGAAUUUCAGGUGUAGCGGUGAAAUGCGUAGAUAUCUGAAGGAACAUCAGUGGCGAAAGCGACCUCCUGGACCAAUACUGACGCUAAGGUGCGAAAGCGUGGGGAGCAAACAGG
rnacentral:rRNA from 1 species